rnacentral:rRNA from 1 species
GUAGUCUCGCACAGAUGCAUAUCAAUAAGCGGAGGAAAAGAAACUAACAAGGAUUCCCUCAGUAACGGCGAGUGAAGCGGGAAGAGCUCAAAUUUGAAAUCUUGAAAGGUCUACCUUGCACGAAUUGUAGUUUAAAGAAGUGUUUUCUGUUACGACCGUAGUAUAAAGUUCUUUGGAAUAGGACAUCACAGAGGGUGAGAAUCCCGUCUAUGAUUGCGAUUUGUAGCUUUGUGAUACACUUUCAAAGAGUCGGGUUGUUUGGGAAUGCAGCCCAAAACGGGAGGUAAAUUUCUUCUAAGGCUAAAUAUUGGCGAGAGAGCCGAUAGCGAACAAGUACCGUGAGGGAAAGAUGAAAAGAACUUUGAAAAGAGAGUUAAAUAGUACGUGAAAUUGUCAAAAGGGAAGCGUUUAACACCAGUGUUGUUUUCUGAAAAUCAACCUCUGUUAGCUUUAUGCAUGUUUGUUUAGACCUAAUCAGCUAUCUUGCAUGUUCUAUUGUUUGCAGUGGUGCACUUUUCAGUUUACAGGUCAACAUCAGUUUUUUUUACCGUAAAAAAGUUAAAGAAAGGUAGCUCAUGGCUCCGGUCGUGAGUGUUAUAGUCUUUUUCCUAUGCGGUAGGAGAGACUGAGGUCUGCAGUGUAGGCUAUUUGGCUAGAUACUCAGGUGCUAUGUGAUACCAUUUCAUAAACAACUUGUUGAUUAUGUUUUGUCUAUUGCAUACUCGCUUGUACUAUCAUACCUACGCUUAGGAUGUUGAACUACUGAGACAUAGA